rnacentral:rRNA from 1 species
AGUCGAGCGGGCCUUUCGGGGUCAGCGGCGGACGGGUGAGUAACGCGUGGGAACGUGCCCUCUGGUUCGGAAUAACUCAGGGAAACUUGAGCUAAUACCGGAUACGCCCUUUUGGGGAAAGGCUUGCUGCCGGAGGAUCGGCCCGCGUCUGAUUAGCUAGUUGGUGAGGUAACGGCUCACCAAGGCGACGAUCAGUAGCUGGUCUGAGAGGAUGAUCAGCCACACUGGGACUGAGACACGGCCCAGACUCCUACGGGAGGCAGCAGUGGGGAAUAUUGGACAAUGGGCGCAAGCCUGAUCCAGCCAUGCCGCGUGAGUGAUGAAGGCCUUAGGGUUGUAAAGCUCUUUUAUCCGGGACGAUAAUGACGGUACCGGAGGAAUAAGCCCCGGCUAACUUCGUGCCAGCAGCCGCGGUAAUACGAAGGGGGCUAGCGUUGCUCGGAAUCACUGGGCGUAAAGGGCGCGUAGGCGGCGUUUUAAGUCGGGGGUGAAAGCCUGUGGCUCAACCACAGAAUGGCCUUCGAUACUGGGACGCUUGAGUAUGGUAGAGGUUGGUGGAACUGCGAGUGUAGAGGUGAAAUUCGUAGAUAUUCGCAAGAACACCGGUGGCGAAGGCGGCUCACUGGA